ensembl:lncRNA
GUCAGAGAGCCCAGAGAAGCAAGUGUUUUGGGAGGAGAGCAUGGCCAAGGGUGUUUAAUGCUGCUGACAGGAGGAUGGAGGGGAAGUCAAGGAUCAGGCGAGAAGGCAAUGGUACCCCACUCCAGUACUCUUGCCUGGAAAAUCCCAUGGAUGGAGGAGCCUGAUAGGCUGCAGUCCAUGGGGUCGCUAAGAGUCGGGCACGACUGAGCAACUUCACUUUCACUUUCAUGCUUGAUCAGCCAGAGGAUCUUCAGCCCCGACCCUUGUCUCCACCUUCCGAACCCAGGAAAAGUCCACCGGGGAGAAUCUGACCGGAGACAAGCGCGGCCUGGGUGGAGGCCCAGCCCUGCCACCUCCCAGCAGGGUGAUUGUGAAGAAAUCUCUUAACCUGUCCAGGCUUCAGCUUCUCCAUCUGCACUUUGGGGAUGAUAAGACACAAUUCACGGCACUGUCCUGAGGCUUAAAGGAGGGUAAUUCAAGCUGUUCGCGCAGUGCCUGGCCCCAAGAUAAAAUACACCAAAAUUCCUCUGAGGGGCUGCUGACACCGACUGCCCUUUGAGCAUCCCCCUGUGAUGAUGGUACUAAAACAGGGACUAGGAGUUACUUGUCAACAGUGUGUAUGUUGGACUUGCAUUUGUGUUUAUUUACAUGUCAGUUACAGGCCUGAGAGAAAA